rnacentral:rRNA from 1 species
UACGUAGGGUGCGAGCGUUAAUCGGAAUUACUGGGCGUAAAGCGUGCGCAGGCGGUUUUGUAAGCCGGAUGUGAAAUCCCCGGGCUUAACCUGGGAAUGGCAUUCGGGACUGCAAGGCUGGAGUGCGGCAGAGGAGACUGGAAUUCCUGGUGUAGCAGUGAAAUGCGUAGAUAUCAGGAGGAACACCGAUGGCGAAGGCAGGUCUCUGGGCCGUAACUGACGCUGAGGAGCGAAAGCGUGGGGAGCGAACAGG